rnacentral:rRNA from 1 species
CCUACGGGCGGCAGCAGUGAGGAAUAUUGGUCAAUGGACGAGAGUCUGAACCAGCCAAGUAGCGUGAAGGAUGACUGCCCUAUGGGUUGUAAACUUCUUUUAUAUGGGAAUAAAAUGUUCCACGUGUGGGAUUUUGUAUGUACCAUAUGAAUAAGGAUCGGCUAACUCCGUGCCAGCAGCCGCGGUAAUACGGAGGAUCCGAGCGUUAUCCGGAUUUAUUGGGGUUAAAGGGAGCGUAGGUGGAUUGUUAAGUCAGUUGUGAAAGUUUGCGGCUCAACCGUAAAAUUGCAGUUGAAACUGGCAGUCUGGAGUACAGUAGAGGUGGGCGGAAUUCGUGGUGUAGCGGUGAAAUGCUGAGAUAUCACGAAGAACUCCGAUUGCGAAGGCAGCUCACUGGACUGCAACUGACACUGAGGCUCGAAAGUGUGGGUAUCAAACAGGAGUAGAUACCCCUGUAGUC